ACGCCGUAAACGAUGAGUGCUAGGUGUUAGGCCCUUUCCGGGGCUUAGUGCCGCAGCUAACGCAUUAAGCACUCCGCCUGGGGAGUACGACCGCAAGGUUGAAACUCAAAGGAAUUGACGGGGGCCCGCACAAGCGGUGGAGCAUGUGGUUUAAUUCGAAGCAACGCGAAGAACCUUACCAGGUCUUGACAUCCCUCUGACCGCUCUAGAGAUAGAGUUUUCCUUCGGGACAGAGGUGACAGGUGGUGCAUGGUUGUCGUCAGCUCGUGUCGUGAGAUGUUGGGUUAANNNNNNNNNCGAGCGCAACCCCUAUUGUUAGUUGCCAUCAUUGAGUUGGGCACUCUAGCGAGACUGCCGGUAAUAAACCGGAGGAAGGUGGGGAUGACGUCAAAUCAUCAUGCCCCUUAUGACCUGGGCUACACACGUGCUACAAUGGCUGGUACAACGAGUCGCAAGCCGGUGACGGCAAGCUAAUCUCUGAAAGCCAGUCUCAGUUCGGAUUGUAGGCUGCAACUCGCCUACAUGAAGUCGGAAUCGCUAGUAAUCGCGGAUCAGCACGCCGCGGUGAAUACGUUCCCGGGCCU
rnacentral:rRNA from 1 species